GUGCCAGCAGCCGCGGUAAGACGAACCGUGCGAACGUUGUUCGGAAUCACUGGGCUUAAAGGGCGCGUAGGCGGGCUACCAAGUCUGUGGUGAAAUCCUCCAGCUCAACUGGAGAACGGCCGUGGAUACUGGGAGCCUCGAGGGAGAUAGGGGCAGGCGGAACUGAUGGUGGAGCGGUGAAAUGCGUUGAUAUCAUCAGGAACUCCGGUGGCGAAGGCGGCCUGCUGGAUCUCAUCUGACGCUGAGGCGCGAAAGCCAGGGGAGCAAACGGGAUUAGAUACCCCCGUAGUCC
rnacentral:rRNA from 1 species